rnacentral:rRNA from 1 species
CCUACGGGAGGCAGCAGUGGGGAAUAUUGCACAAUGGGCGCAAGCCUGAUGCAGCGACGCCGCGUGAGCGAUGCAGGCCUUCGGGUCGUAAAGCUCUCUCCUAAGGGAAGAAUAAUGACGGUACCUUAGGCGGAAGCCCCGGCUAACUACGUGCCAGGAGCCGCGGUAAGACGUAGGGGGCGAGCGUUAUCCGGAAUCACUGGGCGUAAAGGGUGCGUCUGCGGCCCUGCACGUCAGGAGUUAAAUCCCUCGGCUCAACCGAGGUCAGCUCUGGAGACUGUAGGACUUGAGUGCAGGAGAGGAGAGCGGAAUUCCUAUUGUUGCGGUGAAAUGCGUAGAUAUUAGGAGGAACACCAGUGGCGAAGGCGGCGCUCUGGACUGCAGCUGACGCUGAGGCACGAAAGCGUGGGGAGCGAACAGGAUUAGAUACCCCUGUAGUC